AGAUGCGAUCAUACCAGCACUAAAGCAUCAGA
rnacentral:rRNA from 1 species